rnacentral:rRNA from 1 species
CAGCAGCCGCGGGAAUACAGAGGGUGCGAGCGUUAAUCGGAUUUACUGGGCGUAAAGCGUGCGUAGGCGGCUUUUUAAGUCGGAUGUGAAAUCCCUGAGCUCAACUUAGGAAUUGCAUUCGAUACUGGGAAGCUAGAGUAUGGGAGAGGAUGGUAGAAUUCCAGGUGUAGCGGUGAAAUGCGUAGAGAUCUGGAGGAAUACCGAUGGCGAAGGCAGCCAUCUGGCCUAAUACUGACGCUGAGGUACGAAAGCAUGGGGAGCAAACAGGAUUAGAUACCCGCGUAGUCCCUGUCUCUUAUAA